GGCGGGUGUGCGCAGCAGCUUGCCAAACGUGUUCCUGUGUUUUCUUGCUCGAAGUGUUGACGUGCCGUGACCCUGACGAAGGGAAGAGUGUGCCAGUGUUGAGGGACAGACGAGGCGUCGUGCACUGGAACGGCUGGUGGGAGUGUUGGAUGGGGGGGGGGGGGGGAGCUCCACUUCAUCCCAAGGAAGCCGACAAAAAUGUCUCCCCUUCUUUCCUUUCCUCUCCCCCUGUCCUUUGCUUGUCAAUCAAAAGUGUUGUGCUGAGGCAGCCAGCGUGCCGGGGCUGGGUGAGGAGGCUGUGUCCUCGAGGCGGCAGCAGGCAAGGGCUUGGCGCGGGGCGGGGAGCCGUGAUGGCAUUGUCACCGCCAUUAAUAUGGACGGACUACGGGCUGUCCUGUUAACCAAAAUAACAAGGAUGCACACCUAACCUUCACUUCCCUGCGUCACCUGCCCGUCUAUCCCAGGCACACCCAAGCAACAGUUCUUACCACAAGUCUCUUUCGCCUGUUACUCUGCGUCUUGCCUUCCCAUACAUAACAUCGUGUGUGACGAGGACUGUUUGGCCGUGGUAAGUCAGCAAGUUGUGCAGACAUUCACCUAAACGUCUUCUGGGUGGUGUACACGCUGCCGUCUUGUGGCGCCCCGAUGUGCACUGCCUCACCAUGUCUGCCAAAUUAAUGAAUAAUACUUAUACACUGGUAAUGGACUGUAUCGCUCUUGUUUUUCUAGUUAAUAAAUAUUCCUCUUAUUCUUUUUAUUCUUCUUCCUCCUUCUAUGUUCCUCCUUCUCCUUCUUCAAUUCAUCUACAUCCCUCCUUCUCCUUCUCGUUCUAAUUCUCCCCCUCCUCUUGGCGUCCGCUGAUAUGGCCCGUUGCUGUGCUUUACUCCUUAUCGCCUUCCUCCGUGUGUGUGUGUGUGUGUGUG